rnacentral:rRNA from 1 species
AUUCCAGCUCCAAUAGCGUAUAUUAAAGUUGUUGCGGUUAAAAAGCUCGUAGUUGGAUUUCUGUCGGUGAAUAUCAGUCCGCCCACAGCGGUAGGUACGUGAUAUUUCACCGGCAUUAUCCUGGGGAAUGUGUCUGCUCUUUAUUGAGUGGUACAUAAGCCAGGACUUUUACUUUGAAGAAAUGAGAGUGUUUCAAGCAGGCAUGCGCCGUGAAUACGUUAGCAUGGGAUAAUAGCAUCGGACCUCGUUCCAAAGCUGUUGGUUUCUUGGACCGAGGUAAAGGUGAAUAGGGAUUGUUGGGGGCAUUCGUAUUUGACUGUCAGAGGUGAAAUUCUUGGAUUUGUUGAAGACGGACUACUGCGAAAGCAUCUGCCAAAGAUGUUCUCAUUA